ACGCUCGACACCUACGGGGGCAGCAGUGGGGAAUAUUGCACAAUGGGGGAAACCCUGAUGCAGCGACGCCGCGUGAGCGAAGAAGUAUUUCGGUAUGUAAAGCUCUAUCAGCAGGGAAGAAACUGACGGUACCUGACUAAGAAGCACCGGCUAAAUACGUGCCAGCAGCCGCGGUAAUCUGAGGCGGGCGUGGACGAAGGC
rnacentral:rRNA from 1 species